GACGAACGCUGGCGGCGUGCUUAACACAUGCAAGUCGAACGGAAGGGCCCUGCUUGUGUGUGGUGCUCGAGUGGCGAACGGGUGAGUAACACGUGAGUAACCUGCCCUUGACUUUGGGAUAACUUCAGGAAACUGGUGCUAAUACCGGAUAGGAGCUCCUGCUGCAUGGUGGGGGUUGGAAAGUUCCGGCGGUUGGGGAUGGACUCGCGGCUUAUCAGCUUGUUGGUGGGGUAGUGGCUUACCAAGGCUUUGACGGGUAGCCGGCCCGAGAGGGUGACCGGCCACAUUGGGACUGAGAUACGGACCAGACUCCUACGGGAGGCAGCAGUGGGGAAUAUUGCACAAUGGGCGGAAGCCUGAUGAAGCAACGCCGCGUGCGGGAUGACGGCCUUCGGGUUGUAAACCGCUUUCGCCUGUGACGAAGCGUGAGUGACGGUAAUGGGUAAAGAAGCACCGGCUAACUACGUG
rnacentral:rRNA from 1 species